rnacentral:rRNA from 1 species
AGGAUGAACGCUGGCGGCGUGCUUAAUACAUGCAAGUCGAGCGGUAAGGCCCCUUCGGGGGUACACGAGCGGCGGACGGCUGAGUAACGCGUGGGAACGUACCCCGAAGUGAGGGAUAAGCACCAGAAAUGGUGUCUAAUACCGCAUGUGCUCUAAGGAGUAAAGCUCCGGCGCUUCGGGAACGGCCUGCGUCCGAUUAGCUUGUUGGUGAGGUAAUGGCUUACCAAGGCGACGAUCGGUAGCUGGUCUGAGAGGAUGACCAGCCAGACUGGGACUGAGAACGGCCCAGACUCCUACGGGAGGCAGCAGUAGGGAAUUUUCCACAAUGGACGAAAGUCUGAUGGAGCAACGCCGCGUGCAGGAUGAAGGCCUUAGGGUCGUAAACUGCUUUAUGUAUGAAGAUUAUGACGGUAGUACAUGAAUAAGGAUCGGCUAACUCCGUGCCAGCAGCCGC